AGAGUUUGAUCCUGGCUCAGGAACGCUAGCGGCAGGCUUAAUACAUGCAAGUCGAGGGGCAGCACAGGUAGCAAUACUGGGUGGCGACCGGCAAACGGGUGCGGAACACGUACGCAACCUUCCUUUAAGCGGAGAAUAGCCCAGGGAAACUUGGAUUAAUACUCCAUAAGAUUAUGGUGUGGCAUCACACAGUAAUUAAAGCUCCGGCACUUAAAGAUGGGCGUGCGGCUGAUUAGGUAGUUGGCGGGGUAACGGCCCACCAAGCCAACGAUCAGUAACUGGUGUGAGAGCACGACCAGUCACACGGGCACUGAGACACGGGCCCGACUCCUACGGGAGGCAGCAGUAAGGAAUAUUGGUCAAUGGACGCAAGUCUGAACCAGCCAUGCCGCGUGGAGGAUGAAGGCCCUCUGGGUUGUAAACUUCUUUUAUUUGGGAAGAAACCCAUCUUUUCUAAGGUGGUUGACGGUACCAGAUGAAUAAGCACCGGCUAACUCCGUGCCAGCAGCCGCGGUAAUACGGAGGGUGCAAGCGUUAUCCGGAUUCACUGGGUUUAAAGGGUGCGUAGGUGGGCAGGUAAGUCAGUGGUGAAAUCUCCGGGCUUAACCCGGAAACUGCCGUUGAUACUAUCUGUCUUGAAUGUAGUGGAGGUGAGCGGAAUAUGUCAUGUAGCGGUGAAAUGCUUAGAUAUGACAUAGAACACCCAUUGCGAAGGCAGCUCGCUACACUAUUAUUGACACUGAGGCACGAAAGCGUGGGGAUCAAACAGGAUUAGAUACCCUAGUAGUCC
rnacentral:rRNA from 1 species